AGCAGCCGCGGUAAUUCCAGCUCCAAUAGCGUAUAUUAAAGUUGUUGCAGUUAAAAAGCUCGUAGUUGAACUUCGGGGUUCACCCAUUGGUCAGGCUUAAUUGUCUGUACUGGUGAGAUGAAUCUCUACCUUCUGAGGAACUUUCAUGCCAUUUAUUUGGUGUGAUGGGAAAUCAGGACUGUUACUUUGAAAAAAUUAGAGUGUUUAAAGCAGGCUAACGUCUGAAUACAUUAGCAUGGAAUAAUGAAAUAGGACGGAUUGAUUCUAUUUCGUUGGUUUCUAGGGUCACCGUAAUGAUUAAUAGGGAUAGUUGGGGGCAUUAGUAUUCAAUUGUCAGAGGUGAAAUUCUUGGAUUUAUUCGAAGACUAACUACUG
rnacentral:misc_RNA from 1 species